rnacentral:rRNA from 1 species
UACAUGGGGUGCAAACGUUGCUCGGAAUUAUUGGGCGUAAAGCGCACGUAGGUGGUCGCUUAAGUCGGAUGUGAAAGCCCUCGGCUCAACUGAGGAAGUGCAUCCGAAACUGAGUGGCUAGAGUAUGGAAGAGGGUCGCGGAAUUCCCGGUGUAGAGGUGAAAUUCGUAGAUAUUCGGAAGAACACCAGUGGCGAAGGCGGCUCACUGGUCCGGUACUGACGCUGAGGUGCGAAAGCGUGGGGAGCAAACAGG